GACGAACGCUGUGCGGCGUGCUUAACACAUGCAAGUCGAACGGAAAGGCCCUGCUUUUGUGGGGUGCUCGAGUGGCGAACGGGUGAGUAACACGUGAGUAACCUGCCCUUGACUUUGGGAUAACUUCAGGAAACUGGGGCUAAUACCGGAUAGGAGCUCCUGCUGCAUGGUGGGGGUUGGAAAGUUUCGGCGGUUGGGGAUGGACUCGCGGCUUAUCAGCUUGUUGGUGGGGUAGUGGCUUACCAAGGCUUUGACGGGUAGCCGGCCUGAGAGGGUGACCGGCCACAUUGGGACUGAGAUACGGCCCAGACUCCUACGGGAGGCAGCAGUGGGGAAUAUUGCACAAUGGGCGGAAGCCUGAUGCAGCAACGCCGCGUGCGGGAUGACGGCCUUCGGGUUGUAAACCGCUUUCGCCUGUGACGAAGCGUGAGUGACGGUAAUGGGUAAAGAAGCACCGGCUAACUACGUGCCAGCAGCCGCGGUGAUACGUAGGGUGCGAGCGUUGUCCGGAUUUAUUGGGCGUAAAGGGCUCGUAGGUGGUUGAUCGCGUCGGAAGUGUAAUCUUGGGGCUUAACCCUGAGCGUGCUUUCGAUACGGGUUGACUUGAGGAAGGUAGGGGAGAAUGGAAUUCCUGGUGGAGCGGUGGAAUGCGCAGAUAUCAGGAGGAACACCAGUGGCGAAGGCGGUUCUCUGGGCCUUUCCUGACGCUGAGGAGCGAAAGCGUGGGGAGCGAACAGGCUUAGAUACCCUGGUAGUCCACGCUGUAAACGGUGGGUACUAGGUGUGGGGUCCAUUCCACGGGUUCCGUGCCGUAGCUAACGCUUUAAGUACCCCGCCUGGGGAGUACGGCCGCAUGGCUAAAACUCAAAGGAAUUGACGGGGCCCCGCACAAGCGGCGGAGCAUGCGGAUUAAUUCGAUGCAACGCGUAGAACCUUACCUGGGUUUGACAUGGAUCGGGAGUGCUCAGAGAUGGGUGUGCCUCUUUUGGGGUCGGUUCACAGGUGGUGCAUGCCUGUCGUCAGCUCGUGUCGUGAGAUGUUGGGUUAAGUCCCGCAACGAGCGCAACCCUUGUUCACUGUUGCCAGCACGUUAUGGUGGGGACUCAGUGGAGACCGCCGGGGUCAACUCGGAGGAAGGUGGGGAUGACGUCAAGUCAUCAUGCCCCUUAUGUCCAGGGCUUCACGCAUGCUACAAUGGCUGGUACAGAGAGUGGCGAGCCUGUGAGGGUGAGCGAAUCUCGGAAAGCCGGUCUCAGUUCGGAUUGGGGUCUGCAACUCGACCUCAUGAAGUCGGAGUCGCUAGUAAUCGCAGAUCAGCAACGCUGCGGUGAAUACGUUCCCGGG
rnacentral:rRNA from 1 species